rnacentral:rRNA from 1 species
UACGUAGGGUGCAAGCGUUAAUCGGAAUUACUGGGCGUAAAGCGUGCGCAGGCGGUUUUGUAAGUCUGUCGUGAAAGCCCCGGGCUUAACUUGGGAACUGCGCUCGAAACUACUUGGCUAGAGUGUGGCAGAGGGAGGUGGAAUUCCACGUGUAGCGGUGAAAUGCGUAGAGAUCGGGAGGAACACCUGUGGCGAAGGCGGCCCCCUGGGCCGGCCCUGACGCUGAGACGCGAAGGCGUGGGGAGCGAACGGG